rnacentral:rRNA from 1 species
GAUGAACGCUGGCGGCGUGCUUAACACAUGCAAGUCGAACGAAGCACCUUGAUUCGAUUCUUCGGAUGAAGAUCUUGGUGACUGAGUGGCGGACGGGUGAGUAACGCGUGGGUAACCUGCCUCAUACAGGGGGAUAACAGUUAGAAAUGACUGCUAAUACCGCAUAAGACCACAGCACCGCAUGGUGCAGGGGUAAAAACUCCGGUGGUAUGAGAUGGACCCGCGGCUGAUUAGGUAGUUGGUGGGGUAACGGCCUACCAAGCCGACGAGCAGUAGCCGACCUGUGAGGGUGGCCGGCCACAUUGGGGCUGGGCCACGGCCCAGACUCCUACGGGAGGCAGCAGUGGGGAAUAUUGCACAAUGGGGGGAACCCUGAUGCAGCGACGCCGCGUGAGCGAUGAAGUAUUUCGGUAUGUAAAGCUCUAUAAGCAGGGAAGAAAAUGACGGUACCUGACGAAGAAGCACCGGCUAACUACGUG